UACGUAGGGUGCGAGCGUUGUCCGGAAUUAUUGGGCGUAAAGGGCUCGUAGGCGGUUUGUCGCGUCGGGAGUGAAAACCUUGGGCUUAACUCAGGGCUUGCUUUCGAUACGGGCAGACUAGAGGUAUGCAGGGGAGAACGGAAUUCCUGGUGUAGCGGUGAAAUGCGCAGAUAUCAGGAGGAACACCGGUGGCGAAGGCGGUUCUCUGGGCAUGAUCUGACGCUGAGGAGCGAAAGUGUGGGGAGCGAACAGGAUUAGAUACCCUGGUAGUCCACACCGUAAACGUUGGGCGCUAGGUGUGGGAUCCAUUCCACGGGUUCCGUGCCGCAGCUAACGCAUUAAGCGCCCCGCCUGGGGAGUACGGCCGCAAGGCUAAA
rnacentral:rRNA from 1 species